UACGUAGGGGGCAAGCGUUGUUCGGAUUUACUGGGCGUAAAGGGCGCGUAGGCGGCCAGCACAAGUCAGUUGUGAAAUCUCCGAGCUUAACUCGGAAAGGUCAACUGAUACUGUGCGGCUAGAGUGCAGAAGGGGCAACUGGAAUUCUCGGUGUAGCGGUGAAAUGCGUAGAUAUCGAGAGGAACACCUGCGGCGAAGGCGGGUUGCUGGGCUGACACUGACGCUGAGGCGCGAAAGCUAGGGGAGCGAACGGG
rnacentral:rRNA from 1 species